rnacentral:rRNA from 1 species
AGCAGCCGCGGUAAUUCCAGCUCCAAUAGCGUAUAUUAAAGUUGUUGCAGUUAAAAAGCUCGUAGUUGAAUUUCGGGAUCAAUACGUCGGUCGUGCUUCGGUACGUACUGGCGUCAUUGAUUUCUCCCUUCUGACGAACCAUGAUGUCAUUAACUUGGUGUCAUGGGAAAUCAGGACUGUUACUUUGAAAAAAUUAGAGUGUUUAAAGCAGGCUCACGCUUGAAUACAUUAGCAUGGAAUAAUGAAAUAGGACGUUCGAUCCUAUUUUGUUGGUUUCUAGGAUUGACGUAAUGAUUAAUAGGGAUAGUUGGGGGCAUUAGUAUUCAAUUGUCAGAGGUGAAAUUCUUGGAUUUAUUGAAGACUAACUACUGCGAAAGCAUUUGCCAAGGAUGUUUUCAUUAAUCAAGAACGAAAGUUAGGGGAUCGAAGACGAUCAGAUACCGUCGUAGUCUUAACCAUAAACUAUGCCGACUAGGGAUCGGAUGAUGUUAAUUUUUUAAUGACUCAUUCGGCGCCUUACG